rnacentral:rRNA from 1 species
UACGUAGGGUCCGAGCGUUGUCCGGAAUUAUUGGGCGUAAAGGGCUCGUAGGCGGUUUGUCGCGUCGGGAGUGAAAACACGGGGCUUAACCCCGUGCCUGCUUCCGAUACGGGCAGACUAGAGGUAUGCAGGGGAGAACGGAAUUCCUGGUGUAGCGGUGAAAUGCGGAUAUCAGGAGGAACACCAGUGGCGAAGGCGGCGACCUGGACAGACAUUGACGCUGAGGUGCGAAAGCGUGGGGAGCAAACAGG